AUUGAACGCUGGCGGCAGGCCUAACACAUGCAAGUCGAGCGAGCGGCGGACGGGUGAGUAAUGUAGGGGACUCUGCCCGAGAGAGGGGGAUAACUACGGGAAGCGGGGGCAAAUACCGCAUACUAUCGGAUGAACCCAUAUGGGAUUAGCUAGUAGGUGGGGUAAAGGCUCACCUAGGCGACGAUCUCUAGCUGGUCUGAGAGGAUGAUCAGCCACACUGGGACUGAGACACGGUCCAGACUCCUACGGGAGGCAGCAGUGGGGAAUAUUGCACAAUGGGCGCAAGCCUGAUGCAGCCAUGCCGCGUGUGUGAAGAAGGCCUUCGGGUUGUAAAGCACUUUCAGCGGGGAGGCGUUACCCGCAGAAGAAGCACCGGCUAACUCCGUGCCAGCAGCCGCGGUAAUAC
rnacentral:rRNA from 1 species